UUUUUAUUCAACAAGAUGCCAAGUGAUUGAUUGCAAGCAAGAGAAGAUGGAGGAGGGGGAAGAAGUAGUUAGAUGAGUACAGAGGAAAAUCCUUAAAUGAGAGUCGAGACCAAGAGGCUGCAUGUGGGAAGCCAUGGUAUCUCUCAUCACUCGUUUGAUCCAUGUCUUUUACAUUCAUUCAUAUGAUGACGGGAGAAACAGACAAGGCCCCAUGUGGGAAAUCAUUGACCCUGUGCACAAUCAGGGCAUGGAGCCAAUCCAAUUGAGGAUAUGAUAUCAUGGUUGAAGAAAAAAGUGCGUAUUAUAUAGCAAAUUCAUUUGGAUA